rnacentral:rRNA from 1 species
GACGAACGCUGGCGGCGUGCCUAAUACAUGCCAGUUGAGCGCUGAAGGUUGGUACUUGUACCGACUGGAUGAGCAGCGAACGGGUGAGUAACGCGUGGGGAAUCUGCCUUUGAGCGGGGGACAACAUUCGGAAACGAAUGCUAAUACCGCAUAAAAACUUUAAACACAAGUUUUAAGUUUGAAAGAUGCAAUUGCAUCACUCAAAGAUGAUCCCGCGUUGUAUUAGCUAGUUGGUGAGGUAAAGGCCCACCAAGGCGAUGAUACAUAGCCGACCUGAGAGGGUGAUCGGCCACAUUGGGACUGAGACACGGCCCAAACUCCUACGGGAGGCAGCAGUAGGGAAUCUUCGGCAAUGGACGAAAGUCUGACCGAGCAACGCCGCGUGAGUGAAGAAGGUUUUCGGAUCGUAAAACUCUGUUGGUAGAGAAGAACGUUGGUGAGAGUGGAAAGCUCAUCAAGUGACGGUAACUACCCAGAAAGGGACGGCUAACUACGUG